CUGGCCACAUCUCGUCAGUGGGUGGUUGACUGUAUCAGCUGCCUUCUCUGUAUACAAGGCCAGCCCAUGAACCUGGGGUCAGCGGAGGAAGAGCUGAGAUGUCUCCGUGAAGAACUAACAGCAGCUCUGGACCCCGAGGCUCUGUUUCAGGCAUCUUCCAAAAUGGCCAGGGUUGUUAGUGAGUACUUUCCCCGGAACAG